rnacentral:lncRNA from 1 species
UUUGUCUCUUUCUAUGCAGGGAAAGUGGAGACUCAGAGUGUUUAAGUGACCUGCCUAAGGCACGGAGCUGGCAGCAGAGGUUGGCCCACACCCCAGCUUCCGACUGUCGCUCUCUUCUACAGGUUCAUCGUUAAUAAAACUUGGUUUUCCAGCAUUUCGCUGCCCCAGGAGGGCAGUGGGCCCCCUGUCCAAUUCAUCAACUGCCUAAUGAGCGGCCCCGGAGGUCCCGGCCCGUCCAUUCCAGAAGCUCUCUCUGCCUUGUAAAGCCGCCCACCUCGAGCCCAGAAGAGCAGGAGCGCAGAGGGGCGGUUAUGCUUACGGUGCCUGCAGGACAAGACAAAGUGGAAAGCUGCUCUUUGUCACCCACCCGGCCCCGAUGGCAGCUAACAGACCUCAUCCACACAAUUGGCUGGGACUCGACUCCCUUGUAACACCAGGUCCCUCUUCUGCAGUCUCUGUGCACUCGUGGAGGAGCAGUGUGGAGGGUCUCUGAGGCCAGGGGGAGCACCAGCAUCAGCCAGCACCUCCGUUCUUCGACAGAGGGAAGACGCGAUUGCGUGGCUCUCAGCAGUGACAUCAGAGUGUCCACGUGCCCCCGACCGUGUGCCCCAGCUGUAUGCAU